GCAGCUGGGGAGGAGUAGCCACCGGCCUGAGGGGGAACUGAGGCCAGGAUGGCUACCCAUUAGCCAGACAGGGGCCAAAACCUGGGGCCCACAGCCAGGAUCCAGGCCCCCGGGACAGAUGGCCCAGUCCCGACACCUUGCGGCAAGUGAUGGGGGCUCCAGGCCGGAGCAAGGACGAGUUGGUGCAGGAGUGGAAGUACCAGCCUCACUGCCUCUAAAUGACCCGGGGGCUAGCACGGAGCCCAGUGAAGCCUCCUGCACUUAACCCAUCCCAGCCCCGAGAGCUGCGUGGGUGCCCACCGUCUGUCCUGUCCGGCAGAACCCAGGUGGGAGGAGCUGCUGUGAGGACCUCAGGAGGCAGGUAAUUUCUUCCAGACCCAGCGGGGGACCAGAAGUGCUCCUAGCCGCUUCACCCCACCCUCCCCCAAAAUUAACUACUGCUAAGCUCCCACCUUGCCCAAGCAAAGGGGUCGCCAGCCCUGCUGGCAGGCCGCAGAGCUGCUCCCUCACCAUGGCAGGCUUGCCGAUCUGUCCCUGUCGGCGUCUUGGCCCGAUGCUCUGCCAGCGUCCAGCAAGCCCCCAGAAGAGAUAACUAAGCACCGGAAGCCAGCUUCAGCACAAUUAUACUUUUUUAAUUCAA